rnacentral:rRNA from 1 species
ACUCCUACGGGAGGCAGCAGUGGGGAAUAUUGCACAAUGGGCGCAAGCCUGAUGCAGCCAUGCCGCGUGUAUGAAGAAGGCCUUCGGGUUGUAAAGUACUUUCAGCAGUGAGGAAGGUGGGUAUGUUAAUAGCAUACUCAUUCGACUGAUAGCGUUAGGCCAGUAAGGCAAAGGAACGAAAGCCCGGACCCGGCUUAAAACCUUCCCCGGUUGGCCCCAAGGCCAGGCCGCGGUAAUACGGGAGGGGUGCGAGCGUUAAUCGGAAUUACUGGGCGUAAAGCGCAUGCAGGUGGUUUGUUAAGUCAGAUGUGAAAGCCCGGGGCUCAACCUCGGAAUUGCAUUUGAAACUGGCAAACUAGAGUACUGUAGAGGGGGGUAGAAUUUCAGGUGUAGCGGUGAAAUGCGUAGAGAUCUGAAGGAAUACCGGUGGCGAAGGCGGCCCCCUGGACAGAUACUGACACUCAGAUGCGAAAGCGUGGGGAGCAAACAGGAUUAGAUACCCUGGUAGCUACGAGU